rnacentral:rRNA from 1 species
CCUGAGUAGCGGCGAGCGAAACGGAAAGAGCCCAAACCAAGAAGCUUGCUUCUUGGGGUUGUAGGACACUCUAUACGGAGUUACAAAAGAAAGUUAUAAAUGAAGCGGUCUGGAAAGGCCCGCCAAAGACGGUAACAGCCCGGUAGUUGAAAUGGCUUUCCCUCCAGAGUGGAUCCUGAGUACGGCGGAACACGUGAAAUUCCGUCGGAAUCCGGGAGGACCAUCUCCCAAGGCUAAAUACUCCCUAGUGACCGAUAGUGAACCAGUACCGUGAGGGAAAGGUGAAAAGCACCCCGGAAGGGGAGUGAAACAGUUCCUGAAACCGUGUGCCUACAAGUAGUUAGAGCCCGUUAAUGGGUGAUAGCGUGCCUUUUGUAGAAUGAACCGGCGAGUUACGAUUUGUUGCAAGGUUAAGCGGAAAAAGCGGAGCCGUAGCGAAAGCGAGUCUGAAUAGGGCGCAUAAGUAACAGGUCGUAGACCCGAAACCAGGUGAUCUACCCAUGUCCAGGAUGAAGGUAAGGUAAUACUUACUGGAGGUCCGAACCCACGCACGUUGAAAAGUGCGGGGAUGAGGUGUGGGUAGCGGAGAAAUUCCAAUCGAACUUGGAGAUAGCUGGUUCUCUCCGAAAUAGCUUUAGGGCUAGCCUCGAGGUAAAGAGUCAUGGAGGUAGAGCACUGUUUGGACUAGGGGCCCUUCUCGGGUUACCGAAUUCAGAUAAACUCCGAAUGCCAUGUACUUAUACUCGGGAGUCAGACUGCGAGUGAUAAGAUCCGUAGUCGAAAGGGAAACAGCCCAGACCACCAGUUAAGGUCCCCAAAUAUAUGUUAAGUGGAAAAGGAUGUGGGGUUGCUUAGACAACCAGGAUGUUGGCUUAGAAGCAGCCACCAUUGAAAGAGUGCGUAAUAGCUCACUGGUCGAGUGACCCCGCGCCGAAAAUGUACCGGGGCUAAACAUAUUACCGAAACUGUGGAUGAACCUCUUUAGAGGUUCGUGGUAGGAGAGCGUUCUAAGGGCGGUGAAGUCAGACCGGAAGGACUGGUGGAGCGCUUAGAAGUGAGAAUGCCGGUAUGAGUAGCGAAAGAAGGGUGAGAAUCCCUUCCACCGAAUAUCUAAGGUUUCCUGAGGAAGGCUCGUCCGCUC